rnacentral:rRNA from 1 species
UACUCCUACGGGAGGCAGCAGUCGAGAAUCUUCCGCAAUGGACGCAAGUCUGACGGAGCGAUACAGCGUGAUGGACGAAGUGGUUCGCCACGUAAACAUCUUUUAUGUGGGAUGAAGUAAUUGACAGUACCACAGGAAUAAGGGGCUCCUAACUCUGUGCCAGCAGCCGCGGUAAU